AGAGUUUGAUCCUGGCUCAGAACGAACGCUGGCGGCGUGCUUAACACAUGCAAGUCGCGUGCGCAGUUUCCGUAGCAAUACGGGGAUCGGCGCACGGCGCACGGGUGCGUAACACGUGGGCAAUCUGCCCUCCGAUGGGGAAUACCCCCGCGAAAGCGGGACUAAUUCCGCAUAACAUUCCUUGGACUAACGUUCGAGGAUUCAAAGCAGCAAUGCGUCGGAGGAGGAGCCCGCGCCCGAUUAGCUAGUUGGUGAGGUAACGGCUCACCAAGGCAAUGAUCGGUAGCUGGUCUGAGAGGAUGGCCAGCCACACUGGAACUGAGACACGGUCCAGACUCCUACGGGAGGCAGCAGUGGGGAAUCUUGCACAAUGGGCGAAAGCCUGAUGCAGCGACGCCGCGUGGGGGAUGAAGCUUCUCGGAGUGUAAACCCCUUUCGACUGGGACGAAUGCCUCGCAAGAGGAGUGACGGUACCAGUAUAAGAAGCCCCGGCUAACUACGUGCCAGCAGCCGCGGUAAGACGUAGGGGGCCAGCGUUGUUCGGAAUUACUGGGUGUAAAGGGUUCGUAGGCGGUGUGGCAAGUCGGGAGUGAAAUCUCUGGGCUCAACCCAGAGACUGCUUCCGAAACUGCUGUGCUUGAGUGUGAGAGAGGCUCGUGGAAUUGCAGGUGUAGCGGUGAAAUGCGUAGAUAUCUGCAGGAACACCCGUGGCGAAAGCGGCGAGCUGGAUCACUACUGACGCUGAGGAACGAAAGCUAGGGGAGCAAACAGGAUUAGAUACCCUAGUAGUCCUAGCCCUAAACGAUCAGGACUUGGGGUGCCGCCCGUUCGGGCGUCGUCCCGGAGCUAACGCGUUAAGUCCUGCACCUGGGGAGUACGGUCGCAAGACUGAAACUCAAAGGAAUUGACGGGGCCCGCACAAGCGGUG
rnacentral:rRNA from 1 species